rnacentral:rRNA from 1 species
UUGAUCCUGGCUCAGGACGAACGCUGGCGGCGCGCCUAACACAUGCAAGUCGAACGGGCAGAAGAUGAGCUUGCUUAACUUCUGCUAGUGGCGGACGGGUGAGUAACACGUGAGUAACCUGCCUUUCAGAGGGGAAUAACGAUUGGAAACGAUCGCUAAUACCGCAUAAUGCUGCGAGAGGACAUCCUCAUGCAGCCAAAGGAGCAAUCCGCUGAAAGAUGGGCUCGCGGCCGAUUAGAUAGUUGGUGAGGUAAUGGCUCACCAAGUCAGCGAUCGGUAGCCGGACUGAGAGGUUGAUCGGCCACAUUGGGACUGAGACACGGCCCAGACUCCUACGGGAGGCAGCAGUGGGGGAUAUUGCACAAUGGAGGAAACUUCUGAUGCGGCGACGCCCGCGUGAGGGAAGACGGUCUUCGGAUUGUAAACCUCUGUCUUAGGGGAAGAAAAAAGACGGUACCCUAAGAGGAAGCUCCGGCUAACUACGUGCCAGCAGCCGCGGUAAUACGUAGGGAGCGAGCGUUGUCCGGGAAUUACUGGGUGUAAAGGGAGCGUAGGCGGGACAGCAAGUUGGAUGUUUAACGUACCGGCUUAACCGGUAUCUGGAUCCAAAACUGCAGUUCUUGAGUGAAGUAGAGGCAGGCGGAAUUCCUAGUGUAGCGGUGAAAUGCGUAGAUAUUAGGAGGAACACCAGAGGCGAAGGCGGCCUGCUGGGCUUUAACUGACGCUGAGGCUCGAAAGCGUGGGGAGCAAACAGGAUUAGAUACCCUGGUAGUCCACGCUGUAAACGAUGAUUACUAGGUGUGGGGGGGACUGACCCCUUCCGUGCCGCAGUUAACACAAUAAGUAAUCCACCUGGGGAGUACGGCCGCAAGGCUGAAACUCAAAGGAAUUGACGGGGGCCCGCACAAGCAGUGGAGUAUGUGGUUUAAUUCGAAGCAACGCGAAGAACCUUACCAGGUCUUGACAUCGUGCGCAUAACCUAGAGAUAGGCGAAGCCCUUUCGGGGCGCAUAGACAGGUGGUGCAUGGUUGUCGUCAGCUCGUGUCGUGAGAUGUUGGGUUAAGUCCCGCAACGAGCGCAACCCUUAUUACUAGUUUGCUACCGCAAGAAGCCACUCUUGAGACUGCCGUUGACAAAACGGAGGAAGGUGGGGAUGACGUCAAAUCAUCAUGCCCCUUAUGACCUGGGCUACACACGUACUACAAUGGCACUUAAACAGAGGGCGGCCACACCGCGAGGUGGAGCGAAUCCCGAAAAAGUGUCACAGUUCAGAUUGCAGGCUGCAACUCGCCUGCAUGAAGUCGGAAUUGCUAGUAAUCGCAGAUCAGCAUGCUGCGGUGAAUACGUUCCCGGGCCUUGUACACACCGCCCGUCACACCAUGGGAGUCGAUAAC